GUGUCAGCAGCCGCGGUAAUACAGAGGUCCCAAGCGUUGUUCGGAUUCACUGGGCGUAAAGGGUGCGUAGGUGGCUGGGUAAGUUUGAUGUGAAAUCUCCGGGCUUAACCCGGAAAAUGCAUUGAAUACUAUCCAGCUAGAGGUUUGGAGGGGGGACUGGAAUUCUUGGUGUAGCAGUGAAAUGCGUAGAUAUCAAGAGGAACACCAGUGGCGAAGGCGAGUCCCUGGACAAAUCCUGACACUGAGGCACGAAAGCUAGGGGAGCAAACAGGAUUAGAUACCCUGGUAGUCC
rnacentral:rRNA from 1 species